rnacentral:rRNA from 1 species
GACGAACGCUGGCGGCGUGCUUAACACAUGCAAGUCGUACGGUAAGGCCCUGCUUUUGUUGGGUGCUCGAGUGGCGAACGGGUGAGUAACAAGUGAGUAACCUUCCCUUUACUUUUGGAUAACUUCAGGAAACUGGGGCUAAUACCGGAUAUUAGCUCCUGCUGCAUGGUGGGGGUUGGAAAGUUUCGGCGGUUGGGGAUGGACUCGCGGCUUAUCAGCUUGUUGGUGGGGUAGUGGCUUACCAAGGCUUUGACGGGUAGCCGGCCUGAGAGGGUGACCGGCCACAUUGGGACUGAGAUACGGCCCAGACUCCUACGGGAGGCAGCAGUGGGGAAUAUUGCACAAUGGGCGGAAGCCUGAUGCAGCAACGCCGCGUGAGGGAUGACGGCCUUCGGGUUGUAAACCGCUUUCGCCUGUGACGAAGCGUGAGUGACGGUAAUAGGUAAAGAAGCACCGGCUAACUACGUG